rnacentral:rRNA from 1 species
UACGAAGGGGGCUAGCGUUGCUCGGAAUCACUGGGCGUAAAGCGCACGUAGGCGGCUUUCUAAGUCAGGGGUGAAAUCCUGGAGCUCAACUCCAGAACUGCCUUUGAUACUGGAGAGCUUGAGUCCGGGAGAGGUGAGUGGAACUCCGAGUGUAGAGGUGAAAUUCGUAGAUAUUCGGAAGAACACCAGUGGCGAAGGCGGCUCACUGGCCCGGUACUGACGCUGAGGUGCGAAAGCGUGGGGAGCGAACCGG